rnacentral:rRNA from 1 species
GGGGAAUAUUGGACAAUGGGCGCAAGCCUGAUCCAGCCAUGCCGCGUGAGUGAUGAAGGCCUUAGGGUUGUAAAGCGCUUUCGUCCGGGACGAUAAUGACGGUACCGGAAGAAGAAGCCCCGGCUAACUUCGUGCCAGCAGCCGCGGUAAUACGAAGGGGGCUAGCGUUGUUCGGAAUCACUGGGCGUAAAGGGCGCGUAGGCGGCCAAUCAAGUCGGGGGUGAAAGCCUGUGGCUUAACCACAGAAUUGCCUUCGAUACUGUUUGGCUUGAGACCGGAAGAGGUAAGUGGAACUGCGAGUGUAGAGGUGAAAUUCGUAGAUAUUCGCAAGAACACCAGUGGCGAAGGCGGCUUACUGGUCCGGUUCUGACGCUGAGGCGCGAAAGCGUGGGUAGCAAAC